ACCUUAUCAAGAGAAGCGGAGGGACUGGCCCGAUGAUGCUUCAGCAACCGGCCUGACAAAGGCAAAGGUGCUAAAUCCAGCGGGCUGACACCGUCCGGAAGAUGAGAA
rnacentral:ncRNA from 2 species